GGGGAUUUAGCUCAGUGGUAGAGUGCUUGCCUAGCAAGCACAAGGCCCUGGGUUCGGUCCCCAGCUCUG
rfam:Rattus norvegicus chromosome 6, whole genome shotgun sequence.